rnacentral:rRNA from 1 species
AUAAGCGCUGGAAACGGCGUCUAAUACUGGAUACGAACCGCGAAGGCAUCUUCAGCGGUUGGAAAGAUUUUUUGGUUGGGGAUGGGCUCGCGGCCUAUCAGCUUGUUGGUGAGGUAAUGGCUCACCAAGGCGUCGACGGGUAGCCGGCCUGAGAGGGUGACCGGCCACACUGGGACUGAGACACGGCCCAGACUCCUACGGGAGGCAGCAGUGGGGAAUAUUGCACAAUGGGCGGAAGCCUGAUGCAGCAACGCCGCGUGAGGGAUGACGGCCUUCGGGUUGUAAACCUCUUUUAGCAGGGAAGAAGCGAAAGUGACGGUACCUGCAGAAAAAGCGCCGGCUAACUACGUGCCAGCAGCCGCGGUAAUACGUAGGGCGCAAGCGUUAUCCGGAAUUAUUGGGCGUAAAGAGCUCGUAGGCGGUUUGUCGCGUCUGCUGUGAAAUCCCGAGGCUCAACCUCGGGCCUGCAGUGGGUACGGGCAGACUAGAGUGCGGUAGGGGAGAUUGGAAUUCCUGGUGUAGCGGUGGAAUGCGCAGAUAUCAGGAGGAACACCGAUGGCGAAGGCAGAUCUCUGGGCCGUAACUGACGCUGAGGAGCGAAAGGGUGGGGAGCAAACAGGCUUAGAUACCCUGGUAGUCCACCCCGUAAACGUUGGGAACUAGUUGUGGGGUCCAUUCCACGGAUUCCGUGACGCAGCUAACGCAUUAAGUUCCCCGCCUGGGGAGUACGGCCGCAAGGCUAAAACUCAAAGGAAUUGACGGGGACCCGCACAAGCGGCGGAGCAUGCGGAUUAAUUCGAUGCAACGCGAAGAACCUUACCAAGGCUUGACAUAUACGAGAACGGGCCAGAAAUGGUCAACUCUUUGGACACUCGUAAACAGGUGGUGCAUGGUUGUCGUCAGCUCGUGUCGUGAGAUGUUGGGUUAAGUCCCGCAACGAGCGCAACCCUCGUUCUAUGUUGCCAGCACGUAAUGGUGGGAACUCAUGGGAUACUGCCGGGGUCAACUCGGAGGAAGGUGGGGAUGACGUCAAAUCAUCAUGCCCCUUAUGUCUUGGGCUUCACGCAUGCUACAAUGGCCGGUACAAAGGGCUGCAAUACCGUGAGGUGGAGCGAAUCCCAAAAAGCCGGUCCCAGUUCGGAUUGAGGUCUGCAACUCGACCUCAUGAAGUCGGAGUCGCUAGUAAUCGCAGAUCAGCAACGCUGCGGUGAAUACGUUCCCGGGUCUUGUACACACCGCCCG